UACAGAGGUCUCAAGCGUUGUUCGGAUUCAUUGGGCGUAAAGGGUGCGUAGGCGGUGAGGUAAGUUGGAUGUGAAAUCCCGGGGCUUAACCCCGGAACUGCAUUCAAUACUGCCUUGCUAGAGUACUGGAGAGGAGAUUGGAAUUCACGGUGUAGCAGUGAAAUGCGUAGAUAUCAUGAGGAAGACCAGUGGCGAAGGCGAAUCUCUGGACAGUAACUGACGCUGAGGCACGAAGGCCAGGGGAGCAAACGGG
rnacentral:rRNA from 1 species